rnacentral:lncRNA from 1 species
AAAUAUUCAUUUACUUUCCACUUGUUCACUCCUUUGUAGUGGGGCUUAAUAGUAUAAAAUCAUAUGCAAUAUAACACUAGUAAUUAGCUACAUAAGAAACAAUAUGCAAUAUAGUACUUGCAAAGAACCUUUACGAGAUUAGCAGUAUAUUCCACUGGAAGCAAGCGUCUCAUAAAUUCAUAAAUCCUAAGAUUUAGUAUGCAGAAA